UACGUAGGGGGCUAGCGUUGUCCGGAAUCAUUGGGCGUAAAGAGCGUGUAGGCGGUCCGGUAAGUCCGCUGUGAAAGUCGGGGGCUCAACCCUCGAAUGCCGGUGGAUACUGUCGGGCUAGAGUGCGGAAGAGGCGAGUGGAAUUCCUGGUGUAGCGGUGAAAUGCGCAGAUAUCAGGAGGAACACCCGUAGCGAAGGCGGCACUCUGGGCCGAUUCUGACACUGAGGAGCGAAAGCGUGGGGAGCGAACAGG
rnacentral:rRNA from 1 species